CUUAUCGGCAACGACCCGAACACCACACCACUGCAGUUGAGUGCAAGUAUUGCGCUUUCAGCCUACAAGAGGAAACUUUACAGUCACAAAACCGUUCUUGUGGAAUAUAACAACCAUUCAAACCAGAAUAUAUAAAACACAGUUGAAAGUACGUAUAUGCUGAAAAACACGUUUUGGGAAAGAUGUUUUGACACACGUUUAAGCAUAUCGUCAGGUUCAGGCUUAACCCAUAGAAAGAAAGAAGCAGCACAAAAAAAUACAAGUACAAGAAAUACACAUUUAGCUGUUAAUCUGAUGUAUAUCGUUAGCAAGCCUAGCAGAUUAGAUUAACGAUAGUCUAGUCGAUUAACCUUCAUAUUAUAUACUUAUGACUAACUAGACAAGCCUAGCAGAUUAGAUUAGGGAACUUCCACUUUGAUUUCCUUUUUUAAAAUUAGGUGACUAUUCAUUGUCAAAGGUAAAAAAAAAACUCGCAAUACCAAAUUAAAGUUAAACCAACCAAAGCCUAAACAAAAAUCAAAAUAAGGUUAAUUAUAAGCUAUGAGCUAUGCUGUCAGGGGCGGAGCGGAGCGCCAGGCGCUCGGUUUCUGCCUCACCGCCUCGACCGCCUAGGCGGCGCCCAGGCGGCGCCCAGGCGGCGCCCAGGCGGCGCCCUGAUCAGACCCCUGACAGCAAAGCAAUACAGCAUACUGUCUACUGUUGCCAACAGUACUCUAAUUAAAAAAUUAAAAAUACAAUCCAAAAAUUAACCUUGACAUAAUACAAAAAUUAAAAAUACAAUUGAAAAUUAAAAUUCCAACAUCAAAUCGAAAAUUAAAAUUCCAACAUCAAAAUUAAAAAAUUUAAAGAAAAAAUUGAAUUUGAUUAGGUUUGGGUUUGAUUUAAGAAUUAGGGCAUGUAAGAAAUUUAGAAAAUUAGAAGAAAAACAAAUUUAGAAGAAGAAGAACUUACAAAGUUACAGACAGCAGCAGCAGCAGCCGGAGUAGAGAGAAGAGAGAAGAAGCAGCAGGCAGCAGGCAGCAGCAGCAGCAGCAGAGAGAAGAGAGAAGAAGCAGCAGGCAGCAGGCAGCAGCAGCGGAGAAGAGGAGAAGAGGACAGCAGCAGCCUUAAUUCUGUACUCAUCCAUGGGCUUUUUUUAUUUUGGGCCGCUUGAGCGCCUCUGUGUUGACCGCCCUGAGCAGAGCGCUGCGCCUGGGCGCCGCCCAGGCUGAUCGAAGCGUUUUAGGCGCUAUUUUGCUGCAGCGAAGCGAUCCCUUUCCAAAAUAGCGCCGCCCCUGACAGCAUAGGCUAUGAGGGACUCCCAUACCAAAUUAUAUAUUGAAGGGUGGAGAAAGGAAAACUAACCUGAUUAAAGAGAAGUCUCUGCCGAAACCCUCACCAACAAUCACCUCCAGAGUUGAUUGCAAAUAGAAAAGAAGAAGAAGAAGUACUUCCUACUUCCUCCGAACGGUUCGCGCUAGCUCAGAACCUUUUGUUUUUUUAUUUUCCUUAGGGGAAAAAAAAAAAAGGAAAGUAGGAAAUCAAAAAUCCCUUUUUUUUCCCAAACCUAGUGGCGGGAUUUCAAUUUUUUUUUUUUUUUUUCCAAAA
rnacentral:lncRNA from 1 species